rnacentral:rRNA from 1 species
CCUACGGGGGGCAGCAGUGAGGAAUAUUGGUCAAUGGACGAAAGUCUGAACCAGCCAAGUCGCGUGAAGGAUGACUGCCCUAUGGGUUGUAAACUUCUUUUAUAUGGGAAUAAAAUGUUCCACGUGUGGGAUUUUGUAUGUACCAUAUGAAUAAGGAUCGGCUAACUCCGUGCCAGCAGCCGCGGUAAUACGGAGGAUCCGAGCGUUAUCCGGAUUUAUUGGGUUUAAAGGGAGCGUAGGUGGAUUGUUAAGUCAGUUGUGAAAGUUUGCGGCUCAACCGUAAAAUUGCAGUUGAUACUGGCAGUCUUGAGUACAGUAGAGGUGGGCGGAAUUCGUGGUGUAGCGGUGAAAUGCUUAGAUAUCACGAAGAACUCCGAUUGCGAAGGCAGCUCACUGGACUGCAACUGACACUGAGGCUCGAAAGUGUGGGGAGCAAACAGGAUUAGAUACCCCAGUAGUC